rnacentral:lncRNA from 1 species
AGCGAUAGCCGCAAAUGAACAUCUAGAACUAUAUGAUAGGUGUACAAGCAAACCUAAAGGAGUCAUCGAUUUGAAACUGGAAGCUAAUAAAAUCCGUUUGAAAAAUACAAUCGCUUUUGAAGUAUAAAAGAAAUUGAAAGCAAUGAAUAUAGGUACUCAACAGGUAGCUCAAAUUCAACCUGCUCAGACCAUCACGUGUGAAAUCUGUAAUGGAUCUCACCAUACUGUGUAUUGCUUUGUAACUCCUCAUCAAAU